GUGGUCAUUUUCUUCUAUAUUCAUUACGGUUGAAAUUCAUGUUUUUUGUUAAAAGAUCUCAGAUGUUAUAAAAAACGGCUCCCCUUCUAUGACGGUAUUAUGUAAAGUAUAAUCUUGUAUUAAUAUAGAUUGUUUUGAAUGCAGAGUUUGCGACUACAUGGCUUGUUAGUUCUCCUGCAUUGUUUUUGGGCUUUGACGGGUGGUUCGUGGUUGGUACUGCACAUUCAGCCAAUGUGCUCCCCUAUUUGAGACGGAAGAGGUUUCCUUUCACAACAAAUUUUUACAUGCUAAAGGCUAGAGCACUGGUUGUUCCCGUUGGAUAUUACAUGCAUAUGCAGGCUAGGCACGAAAUUGAAACAGUGAUACCAAGAAUUCCUCAAAAGAUAGUGUUGUCAUAACUCACAACGGUUUGCUUUCACCGCCAAGUACUCCUUCUGCUGAACCUGAUUAUGAGAAUAAGAUUCUUUCAGAUGCAUUGCCUGAAAUUGUUCCUUAUGUCUUGAUUGAUCAUCGAGAGGAGCUUCUUCCUCUGAUGAUGUGUGCAAUUGAGCGUCACCCGAGUAGCAACACAAGGGAUUCCUUGACUCACACAUUGUUUAACUUGAUUAAGCGUCCAGAUGUUUUGGAAUCAAAUGGUGUAUGAAACCUGUUGUUGUAAACGAAUGGCGGUGACGAAGAAAGAAACAACAAGACAACAACAUCAGUAGAGUGACCGAGUGACUGGUUGUUGUCAUUGUGUUUAAUUUCAUCCGGUUCCUUUUAGAGUUAUAAUUUGCACAAUUCAGCUGUAGCCUAAAGGCCUUUUAAUUUGAGAUAUUUAUACAAGCUUUUGUAGCAGUUCAACAAGUCCAAUCUGUUAACUAGCCAGCUUCAACUGCCACAACUUAACCAACGGACCCUCAGGAUGGGCAUUGGCGCUUGAAACUGCUCCAAGCUCUAAUGGGAGUGUCACAUCUACAAGCAAAUUGGUAAGUUCCAUGAGUUUUCUAGCCAUCCUCAUUUUCCUCAUUUUGAUGGCUACAAAGAUACCCUGAUGGUCACCAAGCUGAAGAACAUCAAGCAAAUUCUCAACUCAUGUGUUUUCUAAAUUCUCCAUGUGUGUAAAUUUGUUUUUUUAUUUUUGGAAUACAUAAUUGUUACUCUAAGUCUAUAACAUCUUUAUCUAAAACCUGCUGAAGUUAUAUGUACUACGUAGUCUAUU
rnacentral:lncRNA from 1 species